rnacentral:rRNA from 1 species
ACGGGAGGCAGCGGUGGGGAAUAUUGCACAAUGGGGGAAACCCUGAUGCAGCGACGCCGCGUGAACGAUGAAGUAUUUCGGUACGUAAAGCUCUAUCAGCAGGGAAGAAAAUGACGGUACCUGACUAAGAAGCCCCGGCUAACUACGUGCCAGCAGCCGCGGUAAUACGUAGGGGGCAAGCGUUAUCCGGAUUUACUGGGUGUAAAGGGAGUGUAGGUGGCCAUGCAAGUCAGAAGUGAAAGCCCGGGGCUCAACCCCGGGACUGCUUUUGAAACUGUAAGGCUUGAGUGCAGGAGAGGUAAGCGGAAUUCCUAGUGUAGCGGUGAAAUGCGUAGAUAUUAGGAGGAACACCAGUGGCGAAGGCGGCUUACUGGACUGUAACUGACACUGAGGCUCGAAAGCGUGGGGAGCAAACAGGAUUAGAUACCCUGGUA